rnacentral:rRNA from 1 species
AACAGGAUUAGAUACCCUGGUAGUCCACGCUGUAAACGAUGUCGAUUUGGAGGUUGUGCCCUUGAGGCGUGGCUUCCGGAGCUAACGCGUUAAAUCGACCGCCUGGGGAGUACGGCCGCAAGGUUAAAACUCAAAUGAAUUGACGGGGGCCCGCACAAGCGGUGGAGCAUGUGGUUUAAUUCGAUGCAACGCGAAGAACCUUACCUACUCUUGACAUCCAGAGAACUUUCCAGAGAUGGAUUGGUGCCUUCGGGAACUCUGAGACAGGUGCUGCAUGGCUGUCGUCAGCUCGUGUUGUGAAAUGUUGGGUUAAGUCCCGCAACGAGCGCAACCCUUAUCCUUUGUUGCCAGCGGUUCGGCCGGGAACUCAAAGGAGAUUGCCAGUGAUAAACUGGAGGAAGGUGGGGAUGACGUCAAGUCAUCAUGGCCCUUACGAGUAGGGCUACACACGUGCUACAAUGGCGUAUACAAAGAGAAGCGACCUCGCGAGAGCAAGCGGACCUCAUAAAGUACGUCGUAGUCCGGAUUGGAGUCUGCAACUCGACUCCAUGAAGUCGGAAUCGCUAGUAAUCGUAGAUCAGAAUGCUACGGUGAAUACGUUCCCGGGCCUUGUACACACCGCCCGUCACACCAUGGGAGUGGGUUGCAAAAGAAGUAGGUAGCUUAACCUUCGGGAGGGCGCUUACCACUUUGUGAUUCAUGACUGGGGUGAAGUCGUAACAAGGUAACCGUAGGGGAACCUGCGGCUGGAUCACCUCCUU